rnacentral:rRNA from 1 species
AUGAACGCUGGCUACAGGCUUAACACAUGCAAGUCGAGGGGAAACGGCAUUGAGUGCUUGCACUGAAUGGACGUCGACCGGCGCACGGGUGAGUAACGCGUAUCCAACCUUCCCGUUACUGCGGGAUAACCUGCCGAAAGGCAGACUAAUACCGCAUGUUCUUCGAUGACGGCAUCAGAUUCGAAGCAAAGAUCCGUCGGUAACGGAGGGGGAUGCGUCUGAUUAGCUAGUUGGCGGGGCGACGGCCCACCAAGGCGACGAUCAGUAGGGGUUCUGAGAGGAAGGUCCCCCACAUUGGAACUGAGACACGGUCCAAACUCCUACGGGAGGCAGCAGUGAGGAAUAUUGAUCAAUGGGCGGAAGCCUGAACCAGCCAAGUAGCGUGCAGGAUGACGGCCCUACGGGUUGUAAACUGCUUUUAUGCGGGGAUAAAGUGAGGGACGCGUCCCUUUUUGCAGGUACCGCAUGAAUAAGGACCGGCUAAUUCCGUG